rnacentral:rRNA from 1 species
AAGAGAGGAGCUUGCUCUUCUUGGAUGAGUUGCGAACGGGUGAGUAACGCGUAGGUAACCUGCCUUGUAGCGGGGGAUAACUAUUGGAAACGAUAGCUAAUACCGCAUAACAAUGGAUGACACAUGUCAUUUAUUUGAAAGGGGCAAUUGCUCCACUACAAGAUGGACCUGCGUUGUAUUAGCUAGUAGGUGAGGUAAUGGCUCACCUAGGCGACGAUACAUAGCCGACCUGAGAGGGUGAUCGGCCACACUGGGACUGAGACACGGCCCAGACUCCUACGGGAGGCAGCAGUAGGGAAUCUUCGGCAAUGGGGGCAACCCUGACCGAGCAACGCCGCGUGAGUGAAGAAGGUUUUCGGAUCGUAAAGCUCUGUUGUAAGUCAAGAACGGGUGUGAGAGUGGAAAGUUCACACUGUGACGGUAGCUUACCAGAAAGGGACGGCUAACUACGUGCCAGCAGCCGCGGUAAUACGUAGGUCCCGAGCGUUGUCCGGAUUUAUUGGGCGUAAAGCGAGCGCAGGCGGUUUGAUAAGUCUGAAGUUAAAGGCUGUGGCUCAACCAUAGUUCGCUUUGGAAACUGUCAAACUUGAGUGCAGAAGGGGAGAGUGGAAUUCCAUGUGUAGCGGUGAAAUGCGUAGAUAUAUGGAGGAACACCGGUGGCGAAAGCGGCUCUCUGGUCUGUAACUGACGCUGAGGCUCGAAAGCGUGGGGAGCGAACAGGAUUAGAUACCCUGGUAGUCCACGCCGUAAACGAUGAGUGCUAGGUGUUGGAUCCUUUCCGGGAUUCAGUGCCGAAGCUAACGCAUUAAGCACUCCGCCUGGGGAGUACGACCGCAAGGUUGAAACUCAAAGGAAUUGACGGGGGCCCGCACAAGCGGUGGAGCAUGUGGUUUAAUUCGAAGCAACGCGAAGAACCUUACCAGGUCUUGACAUCCCGAUCCUAUUUCUAGAGAUAGAAAGUUACUUCGGUACAUCGGUGAAAAGGGGAGCCAAGGUUUUCGUCAACUCCGGGC